GUCGAUCCAGCCCACCUACCACCAGUAACUCCAAAAUUUAGGAUAACUCAUAUUCAGAUAGCUAUUGGAAGGCACGUUACACCAAAAUGUCCAGACCGAUCAUUGCCUCAGCCAACUGUUGUGCGGUGCUGAAAUUAAUCACAAUGGUGCAGGGAGACCCACAUAACCCCUACCCUUUCGAAACCAUGCACCCUAAAGAGAGAUUAUGUAAGACUGUUCAUCUGAAGUAGAGGUAUACGAGCAUCUGUCAUUUGGAGACAAGCCACACCUCACCAAGUGUCAAGAGAGUUCGUGAAAGAAUAUAUAAAUGCAGAGAGGAGUGGGUGGUGGCUUUCUCAGAUUUAAAAGCUCUUCAUCAUAACCUAUUUAUCAACAGUUGCUCAUGUUUCCAAAGUAGUGAAGUCAACAUAAAGGAAGCCCACCCCUUUAUAUUUGUUUUUUCCCUGCUUUGGUUAUCCAUAGUUGUCACACAUAAGAUCUCCCCAUCUGCUUUGUUGCGUGAGCUGGGAGACAAGAGAUGUGAUAUUUUGUGAUGUGGAAGUAACGCAAGCCCCAACUGCACAAGACUGCACUCCGUUUGGUACUGCACUCCAUCCAAAACACCACGGUCACCAUUUCUCACCAUUUGUUCCCACGUUUGUCCCGCUCCUGGCCUUGGGUUUUGGUUGUAUUGCAUGUGGGAGGUGACUGAGGGCUUUCUUCCGGUAGCAGUGCGAGAAACACACAAUUAGAAAUGUCGAGCUACCCCUUUCCAUCUCAUCACAUUUAACUUUGAACGGUGCCUUUAUUUCUAUAAAAGGCUACCAUAGCCCUCAAACAUGCACCACCACUGGACUGCAUUACACUUCCAUUCCCUUUGCUCUGAGAGACCUACCGGCCAAAUCUGCCAUGCCUUUUGCUCCAUCCUCCCGCGCCUUUCUUCUGUUUGCUCCUUACUUUACCUAUUUGCGCUGCUUGAGAUGGAGAGCUUCUUUGUGUUUGUCUUCUAGCGUUGGGUGGUACAAGAAGAGGUGGAAGGAUUACACCAUAAGCCGUGCUACAUAUGGUUGGUGCUAUCUUUGCUGAGCUUCUCUCUCUCUUUUCCAUCCUUCAUCAUCCAUUUUUCUUCUUGUAAGGUUUUUUCUUGACCUUGCAAGACUUUCUGAGAAAAAGAUUAUGAUUAUGGCCGCUCUCUAUUCCGUUUCAACUAAUGGUCAUCAUCUAUAUUCUUGUCAAUCCUUCCACCUUCUCUUUUCUUGUCUAUCCCUCCAGAGCUUAGUUUGAUCACAUGUAAUCGCUUAUGUAUUUGAAUUUAUGCAAGCUUAAAAACUAGGUGAGACUUCGCUGUAUGCCAAGUAGUUAUGUAUUUUGAUGCUAUGUUUUGAUUUCAAUGUAGAAUGUAUUCUCUAUUUUCCUUUUUUUUAUUUGGCUAUCUUGCUGAGCGAUAGCUGCAAGGAUGACAUUCUACGUUUGAUUGUUGCUGCAUUUGUAAAUGAGUUAGGCUGCUGCUCUUUUUGUGUGUGUCUGUUGGCAUGUUGAGUUUCUUCUUAACCACGCAAAAUUAAAACCCAGCCCUUCUGCACACCCUUUCUAAAUGAAAAAAGUGGACGGUCUCGUUCCAUGUUACAGCUCUUGCAGAGGUAAAAAAUGAAAGGUUUAAUCAGAGCGUAUCACUCCGAUGCAUUUCAGUCCCAUCGAACUACUGGGAUCCAAAUUGCUUUUGUAUUCACAAGUGUGAAGGGCUCCAUUGGGGUCUGAAUGCUGUGGUUGAUCUCUGCACCUAGAAAGGCUAUGGACACCCACAAAAGGGCCCAUAACAAGGAGCCAGACCUUCAUGGACUGAACAGCCCGUUGAAAGCUUAACCGAGUCGGGUUCCAGUUCUAAAGCUCCUUUUCCUAGUGCUGUCCAUCAUUGCUCAGAAGUCACAGCACAGGGGUUCACCCUAAUUUUUUUCCAUACUAAUGCUACAGGACCAGGAGAGAACCCACAAUUUGGACCACCAAUUGCAAGAUACCCAUGGUUGGUGAAACGAGUUAAGCGAUCAAUGAAACUAAACUCUCUCGAACAGG
rnacentral:lncRNA from 1 species